rnacentral:rRNA from 1 species
CCGGAAUCGCUAGUAAUCGCAGAUCAGCAUGCUGCGGUGAAUACGUUCCCGGGUCUUGUACACACCGCCCGUCACACCAUGGGAGCCGGGAAUGCCCGAAGUCAGCGGCCCAACCGAAAGGAGGGAGCUGCCGAAGGCAGGCCUGGUGACUGGGGUGAAGUCGUAACAAGGUAGC